rnacentral:rRNA from 1 species
AGUGAACGCUGGCGGUAGGCCUAACACAUGCAAGUCGAACGGCAGCACAGUAAGAGCUUGCUCUUACGGGUGGCGAGUGGCGGACGGGUGAGGAAUACAUCGGAAUCUACUUUUUCGUGGGGGAUAACGUAGGGAAACUUACGCUAAUACCGCAUACGACCUACGGGUGAAAGCAGGGGAUCUUCGGACCUUGCGCGAUUGAAUGAGCCGAUGUCGGAUUAGCUAGUUGGCGGGGUAAAGGCCCACCAAGGCGACGAUCCGUAGCUGGUCUGAGAGGAUGAUCAGCCACACUGGAACUGAGACACGGUCCAGACUCAUACGGGAGGCAGCAGUGGGGAAUAUUGGACAAUGGGCGCAAGACUGAUCCAGCCAUACCGCGUGGGUGAAGAAGGCCUUCGGGUUGUAAAGCCCUUUUGUUGGGAAAGAAAAGCAGCAGGUUAAUACCCCGCUGUUCUGACGGUACCAAAAGAAUAAGCACCGGCUAACUUCGUG